AACAUUUUCUUCAUUAAACAUAUGAUUUCGCUCUUGUCGCAAUCUACUGUUCUGUAAACCUUGAUUCCUACCCUUUAUAUAAUUUCACCCAAACAGUAACAAUUUUUACCUUCAAAUUUUCAACUUCUCUAACAAUUCAUUAUUUGAGGUUAUUAUGAAUUAUUAUAUUGUGAAAAAAAAAAUUCGUAAGAAAAUUUGAAUUUAAAGAUUCCUAUUAAACAUUUGGAUGGCGGUUACAAUGAUAUUGGACAUCUUUAAAAUCGCUACGAAGCUAAAUACAUUGCAUGAUUCCCCCAGACCUAAAUUAACCUCAGCAACGAGUUGAAUAAGUUAGUUUAAUUAUAUUAAUGUGUAUUUU